AACCGCGUAGCUCAGUUGGCAGAGCAUUGGGCUAGUAUUCCAAAGGUCGUAGGUUCGAUUCCCACCGUGGCCA